CCCAUGAGGGAAUCUGUGAGGAAAAACCAGUCCUUGCAUGUGCAGAGAUGGGCAACUGCUUGUUCAUCAGCUCUCCACUGUCUCCAGUGAUGGGACACCUCAUGCCCAAAGUAGGGGAUGCACACUGAAGGUCAUGCAAGGGUCAACUGCUUUGUCUAUGUACUGUGUGGUAUAUCAGUUUUUUUAGUGGGUUCCAUUGUGUGCAAGGAACUGCUCCAGGUGCUGGCUGUGGGCAGCCAAGGAGCCACAGCCACUUCCUUUGGGGGUCCUUAGGUUCUGAUCACAUCAAAGCUAAGAAGGGAGUUUCCAGGAUGCUUGACCAACCACAGUUGGGGGAGGGAUUUUUUGUGGAGCAGUUUUCUCCAAAUGAAAACAUCCCAUUCUGAAGGGAAGGGAUUAAGACUAGGAAGUGAACAGCUAACAAGUCUCAGAAGUUCCUGAAAUUUACAAAGCCUCUUCCUCCCCAAGGACAUGCAAACAGGAGGAGAGCCCUUGAUCUGACUUGUUGAGGUGCCAGAGCUCCAGGAUUUCAAGUUUUGUCAGCCAUCACCCAUGCUGAGGUUUUUGGUGAUGCAGCUGCCUUUACGUUGUCUCGGAUCUCUUAAGUAGCCUCUCAUGCUCCUGAUUCCAUCAUGCAGCAAAGACCAGCAUUUCUUCAGGAAUCUUCCAGGACUCCAGCACCAGAUUGGGACUGCUGAGACAUCCAGUCACGUGAACUGAGCAACUACCAGAUUCUUGGCCUUUCCACUGGGAGAAUGCUCUUGUUGGAAUAUCCAGAGCACAGCCUGUGGUUCCAGAGCAGUCUAGUCCAGCAGGAGUGAGUACCUUCCAGCAGGUGACACAGUACAAAAAAAGUCUAAAGAAAAGCAGUGUUGGUUGCUUGCCUUCCCUUGGUCUGGAGUCCGUGUGUCUGUCUCUGCUGCUACUGUCCUCUUCUGAUGUCAGACUCAAGCAUCUUCAGCUUCUUCCAACACGAACUGAACACUAGUGACUCUCCAGGAAUCCUCCAGACCUUCAGCACCAGACUGGGAUUGCCAAGGUGAUCAACUUUGUGGACUAAACAGCAUCUCUAGUAUUGUGUAAGUCAAUCUAACAAAUCCUUCUUUAUAAUCCAUAUUUCUUCUAUUAAUUCUGUCUCUAAAGAACUCCAUUUAAUCCAGUUUGUGACAACCAGUAGCAGGUUCUAGAGAGACAAAAUUCUAAGGAUGAAUUUCUCUAGUGGACUUGAUGGUGUCUGGAGCUGGCUCUCCAAUUCAUCUCCACCUAAAACUGCUAAAGACUCGACCGUACUCUGGAAGUGGGGAGAAAGCAUUGCUGUUCCAUCUUGUGAAUUAAAGACUUGUACAGCAUGCACGCAUGCACACACAUAAAUAAGUAAGUGAAUGUAAUUUUAAAAUGAAAAUAAAAGGAAAGA